rnacentral:misc_RNA from 1 species
AAUAACUCGCUCGGCCGGGUCUACCUCACCAUCAUCAUGCCGUUUCACCGCAUGAUCGUCCCUGCCAUGCUGCGGAAGAUCUGACACGCGUCGCACCGGCCUGCAGGCGCCUCAGGGUUUCAUCCAAUCCAGCGCCUGCUGCAUCGGCACCGGCGAGACCCUGACAAACCCGGUGAACGGGUGGUCCAUAUCGAAAACCAGAUUGAUCGCAAUCGACACCGACAGGGCUGCGAGAAAGAGCGCAGCAAUCACCGUGCCCUGGAAUGGCGCGAAUAUUCCACGGCNCAGAAGAAAAGAACGCUGAGCCAUAAGACGCCGGCGAACAGAAACGCGCGUGGCGACCGAUUGAUCUGCUGAACGGACAGCAGACGGCUGGUGCGCUUCAAAUCCCCGAUGA